GAUGAACGCUGGCGGCGUGCCUAAUACAUGCAAGUCGAGCGAACGGACGAGAAGCUUGCUUCUCUGAUGUUAGCGGCGGACGGGUGAGUAACACGUGGAUAACCUACCUAUAAGACUGGGAUAACUUCGGGAAACCGUAGCUAAUACCGGAUAAUAUUUUGAACCGCAUGGUUCAAAAGUGAAAGACGGUCUUGCUGUCACUUAUAGAUGGAUCCGCGCUGCAUUAGCUAGUUGGUGAGGUAACGGCUUACCACGGCAACGAUGCAUAGCCGACCUGAGUGGGUGAUCGGCCACACUGGAACUGAGACACGGUCCAGACUCCUACGGGAGGCAGCAGUAGGGAAUCUUCCGCAAUGGGCGAAAGCCUGACGGAGCAACGCCGCGUGAGUGAUGAAGGUCUUCGGAUCGUAAAACUCUGUUAUUAGGGAAGAACAUAUGUGUAAGUAACUGUGCACAUCUUGACGGUACCUAAUCAGAAAGCCACGGCUAACUACGUG
rnacentral:rRNA from 1 species